CCGUUCCUCUACCACCAUCCCUGCCUUGGGAAUGGAUCAACAGCUGGAGCCAUCUUGGGGGACUGGAAGACUCAGUUUUCUGGAUGAAAGGAAAUCAACAGAAUACAGAGUUCCAAACAAGCAGCUGCUCUUUUCCUGGGCUGUGCAGAGUGUGGCAAGCGUGAAUUUUACCACAGGCUACAUCUCCUGAGGAGAAGGCUCAGCAUUAAUAGUUCAAGAGUGCAGGCAUUUCCCUAGGCAUUGAUCCCUUCACAUGAAAUCUAAGAAGUUUUCAGACAAGCCCAUCCAACAUAUGGUAAAGGAGUCCUGGACACCAAACCAAAAAGCGAAGGACACCCGACUGGGACAUUGGGACAACUGGG